rnacentral:lncRNA from 1 species
UCCCCUUUUUUCGAUUUUCUCUUCAUCAUCAGUGAUGGACUUGACUUUUUAUUUAGUCUGUCAUGUUGCAACUAUUGACAAAUAAACUUUCACCUUCAAGAUCUUUCCUCAGUACUAAUAACUUCCUAGAAAUCCUUUGAUUAGUAAUUUUUCAGUGCAAACUCUCGUCCUCUUUAAGCCUGAUUUAUAUUUUGUUGAAUAUUGAUUCAAAGGUCGUUAGUGCUUCCUAGUUAGUUGGCAGAGUAACACGUUUGUUAGGAGUCCUAGUUUAGUCGAAGCAUAUCUCUGUUAGUUGCUAAUAUUUAGGUUAGUGGAUAAUUAGUGUCUAGUAAGUGGGCAUGUUUUCAGUAAGUGGUUAGGUUAUUUUUUAUUCCUAUCUAAAGAGUCCUAUGUAACUUUGUUUAGUUGUAUGAAUGAAAAUGCGUGAAGUUCUCUGUAACUAUAUUCUUCUUCUUAUACAUUGCUCCUAUUUUCUUCAAUUUCCCAACAGUUUUUGGUAUCAGAGCGCAGAGAGAGUAUCUUUCUCUUAAUUUUUCCUCUCUGUCCAGGUUAGGUCAAACUGGGAGAUAAGGCAAGAGCAAGAAGAAAGUCAAAAUUGAGGGCAAAGAAUGGCUACCAAUUCAGCAUCUUCCACGUCUCAGCAACUAAUUCCAAUCUUUAAUGGAGAUAGAUAUGAAUUCUGGAGCAUAAAGAUGAAGACAUUGUUCAAGUCUCAUGAAUUGUGGGAUUUAGUGGAGAAUGGCUAUGCUGAGGAAGAUGAAGCACAAAGGUUGCGGGAGAACAAAAAGAAGGACUCUAAGGCAUUGUUCUACAUCCAGCAGGCUAUGCACGACUCGUUUUUUUCCAGUAACCUCAAAGCAGGCAUGGGAUAUUCUGAAGAAAGAAUUCCAUGGCUCGACAAAGGUAAUGAUUGUUAAACUCCAAUCACUUCGCCGUGAUUUCAAAAAUUCAUUCAUGAAAAGUAGUGAAUCUAUACAAGACUACUUAUCUAGAGUCAGUACAAUUGUUAAUCAUAUGAAGGCAUAUGGUGACAAAAUUACUGAUGAAAAUGUAGUUGCUAAAGUUCUAAGAAGUCUUAAUAAAAGAUUUGAUCAUGUCGUAGCUGUCAUUGAGGAAUCCCAUAAUUUAUCUGAUUAUGGUUUUGAUGAAUCGAUAAGUUCCUUACAAGCUCAUGAGGAUAGAUUGAAUGCCUCUCAAGAAAAGGGUGAAGAGAAAGCAUUUCAAAUCAAGGGAGAGUCUUCUUUCAAAGGCAAAUCCGAAGUCUCAAAUGCCAGAGGAUGCAGAGGUAGAGGUAGUUUCCGUGGUCGAGGUCGUGGCAGAGGACGAGCUUAAUUUGGUGGUAAGAACCGACAGUUUAAGAGCAAUAUUCAGUGCCGCUAUUAAAAAAAAAAUGGGGCACAAGGAAGUUGAUUGCUGGACUAAACAGAAGGAUGAACAACAACAGGCAAAUUUUACUGAGAAACAACAAGAGGAGCAUAAUCUAUUCAUGGCUCACUCCUCAGUAGAUGUUGGUUCGAAUGAAGUUUGGAUCAUUGAUAAUGGUUGAUCCAACCACAUGUCUGGUAGAAGGUCAUUGUUCAAAGAACUUGAUGAAUUAGAGAAGACAGAAGUACGGCUUGGGAAUGACAAGGCAAUGAAAGUCGAAGGGGAAGGUAUAAUUGCUCUAAAAACUUCUCCAAACUUCUCCAUGAUGUGAGUAUGUUCCUUGUCUAGCCCAUAACUUGUUGAGUGUUGGGCAACUGAUAGCUUAUGGAUACUCCAUUCUAUUUGAUGACAAUUCUUGUAGCAUUCAAGAUAAAAAAAAAAAAAACAGGAUACAAAAUUGAUGACAUUCAAAUGACUCAAAAUAGAAUGUUUCCUCUUGAAGUUUCAGAUGUUAAAAGUUUUGCAUUAGUUACCAAAGAUAGUACUAAAGCUAAUUUAUGGCAUUUGAGGUAUGGUCAUUUGAAUUUAAAGGGGUUGCAAUUAUUAGGUGUCGAAAUAUGGUUCUAGGUUUGCCUAGAAUUGAUGCUCUUGAAUUCUGUGAAGGAUGUGUGUAUGGGAAACAAAAUAGAAAUUCAUUUCCUGUAGGCAAGUCUCGGAGAGCUUCUGGUUGUCUUGAACUGGUGCAUACUAAUCUAUAUGGUCCUAUGAGUGUUGAGUCCUUAGGUGGAAGUCGAUAUUUUCUACUUUUUACGGAUGAUUAUAGGUGAAUGAGUUGUGUAUAUUUCUGAAAUUCAAAUCUGAAAUAUUUGAGAAUUUUAAGAAAUAUAAGUGUUUUGUUGAGAAAGAAAAAGUGGUUGUAGAAUUAAGACUCUUCGAACAUAUAGAGGUGGUGAAUUUAUGUCAAAUGAAUUCAACAUUUUUUGUGAGGAAAAUGGUAUUCACAGAGAUCUCACAGUAUCAUAUACACCAGAGUAGAAUGGUGUAGCGGAACGACAGAACCGGACAGUUGUUGAAAUGGGCAGAAGCAUGAUGCAAGCCAGAGGUGUACCAAAGUAUUUCUGGGUGAAGCUGUUGCUACUGCUGUCUAUAUGCUGAACAUUUCACACACCAUAUGAAGCAUGGAGAGAUAACAAGCCCAAGGUAAGCCACUUACGUGUAUUUGGAUGUAUAGUUUAUACUUUAGUGAACUCACAGGCUAGGCAAAAGCUUGAUAAAAAAUCAAAAAAAUGUGUCUUUGUUGGAUAUAGCACACAAUCCAAAGCUUACAAGCUAUAUGAUCCAGUGAGUGGCAAAAUUAUGAUAAGUAGAAAUGUUAUGUUUAAUGAAGAUGCUAGCUGAAACUUUGAUUCAGGGAAUGUUAAUUCGAAUAUUAAAUUGUCGCCUACUGAUGAGAUUUUUGAGCAAGAACCUGCAGCAGUUUCCAUUCCAGAGAACAUAUCCCGUUCUUCUCCAGUAAGUAGCAGACUUUCUACACCUCAAUCAAGCACCUCUGCUCCAGUAAGUGAUCACGGCUUAACCCCUCAAAGAAGUGGCAGUAUUUCCUCUUCAACAGACUCUUCUAGCGAGACUCCACCAACAAAAUUCAAAUCGUUGAGAGAGAUUUAUGAGACUUGUUCUUUUGCUUUGUAUGGUGCAGAACCCACUUGCUUCAAAGAAGCUACAGAGAUUCAAGUGUGGAAAAAUGCAAUGAUAGAAGAGAUGCUAGCAAUUGAGCAGAACCAAACAUGGGAGUUGGUGAAUCUUCCAGAUGGAAAGGAACCCAUUGGACUCAAAUGGGUGUUCAAAGUCAUGCGUCAUGCAGAUGGGAGCAUAUAGAGAUACAAAGCCAGGCUCGUAGCUAAGGGAUAUGCACAACAUCAAGGUAUUGAUUACGAUGAAACGUUUUCACCUGUUGCUCAUUUUGAAACAGUUAGAAUACUCUUAUCUUUGGCUGCUAAAUUGAGCUUGCCCAUUUAUCAAUUUGAUGUUAAAUCUGCAUUCCUAAAUGGGGAUUUAGAAGAGAAAGUUUAUGUUUGCCAACCUGAGGGUUUUGUUAUUAGUGGAAAUGAGAGAAAAGCUUACAAACUCAAGAAGGCACUUUACGGGCUAAAACAAGCACCAAGGGCAUAGUACAACAAAAUUGACUCCUACUUUCUGAGGUAUGGAUUUGAAAGGAGUGAGAAUGAGCCUACGUUGUAUGUAAAGAAACAAGGCACGAGUGAUUUUUUGGUAGUUUGUCUCUAUGUGGAUGACAUGAUUUAUAUGGGAUCAUAUGAAACUUUAGUUGCUGAAUUUAAAUCUUGCAUGAUGAACAACAACAACAACAAACCCAAUGUAUUCCCACCUGGUGGGGUCCAGGGGGGUAGGAUGUACGCAGUCCAUACCUCUACCUCUGAAGAAGUAGAAAGGCUGUUUCCGAUAGACCCCCGGCUCGAGACACGCGGUACCACACAAACACAUAGUAAAGCACAGCACAAGGUUACAAGAUUACAUAACAUGAUGAAGGAGUUUGAAAUGUCAGAUUUAGGUAUUUUGCAAUACUUUCUUGGUCUUCAAGUGAAACAGGUGGAGAACGGGAUUUUUAUUUCUCAAAUGAAAUAUGCAAAGAACCUCUCGUUCAAGUUUGGUAUGCAUGAUUGUAAAAUGGCUGCCACACCCAUGAAUGUAAAUGAAAAGUUUCAGCUUGAAGAUGACACAGAUCUUUCCGAUCCUAGUCAUUACAGAAGCUUGAUUGGAGGUUUGAACUACCUAACACAUACUCGUCCUGAUAUCAUAUUUUCUGUGAGUAUGUUAUCUAGGUAUAUGUAUUGUCCUACCAAGCAAUCUUGGUGCUGCCAAAAGAGUGUUGCGUUAUAUUACUGGGACUGUUGACUUCGGGAUUUGGUACUCUAAAAUUGCAGAUUUCAGCUUGAUAGGGUAUAGUGAUAGUGAUUGGGCAGGAAGUAUAGAUAACAGAAAGAGUACUUCUGGAAAUGUUUUCAAUUUAGGAUCUGGAGAAAUUUCUUGGAGUUUAAAGAAACAAGAUGUGGUUGCAUUAUCAUCAUCAGAAGCCCAGUAUGUUGCUGUAACUUCAGCAGCAUGUCAGGUCGUAUGGUUACAAAGAUUGUUGAUUGACGUUUUUUUUCGGCAAAAGGAUGCAACAAAGAUAUUCUAUGAUAACAAGGCAACAAUUGCAAUGACAAAAAAUCCAGCUUUUCACAGCAGAACAAAGCAGAUUGACAUCCGUUAUCAUUUCAUUCGUGAUCUAACAACAAAAGGUGAUAUAGAGUUAAAGUUCUGUGGUACAACGGAUCAAAUUGCAGAUGUCUUCACCAAGGCACUCCCACAAGCCAAGCAUGAUCAUUUUCGGCAGAAAUUUGGAGUUUGUAAUUUUGAAUCAAGGGGGGUGUUGAAUAUUGAUUCAAAGGUCGUUAGUGCUUCCUAGUUAGUUGGCAGAGUAACACGUUUGUUAGGAGUCCUAGUUUAGUUGAAGCAUAUCUCUGUUUCUAAUAUUUAGGUUAGUGGAUAAUUAGUGUUUAGUAAGUGGGCAUGUUUUUAGUAAGUGGUUAGGUUAUUUUUUAUUCCUAUUUAAAGAGUCCUACGUAACUUUGUUUAGUUGUAUGAAUGAAAAUACGUGAAGUUCUCUGUAACUAUAUUCUUCUUCUUAU